UAUUAAAUACAAUAAUCAGUCAAUAUAAAGCUUUUCACCCACCUGAACAUAGAAGUAAUAGUCAUCAUUAUAACAAUACAAAUUGUAAUCGCGUUUCAAAGUUUCAAAAAUUGUUAUUUUAUUUUUUGAAACUUGAAUAGGUUAGAAGUGUUUAUAAAAGUUUUUUUUACUUAGUUUUGAAAAUUGACAAAAGAUGCUUUGAUAACACUCUGUUGCCUUCUGUGGAAGUUAAUUCUUAUAGCACUUACUAUUCAAAUCCUUGCUAAGUUCAAGUUUUACUUAAGGAUGUACUUAGAUGAGGUUUUGGAAUUUGUGUCAAAUGUUCGGACUCUUUGGUGUUUUUCCAUACAAUUCAAUGUAAAAUAUUUUGCCUCAUAACACCCA
rnacentral:lncRNA from 1 species